rnacentral:rRNA from 1 species
UACGAAGGGGGCUAGCGUUGCUCGGAAUCACUGGGCGUAAAGCGCACGUAGGCGGACUCUUAAGUCAGGGGUGAAAUCCUGGAGCUCAACUCCAGGACUGCCUUUGAUACUGGGAGUCUUGAGUCCGGAAGAGGUAAGUGGAACUGCGAGUGUAGAGGUGAAAUUCGUAGAUAUUCGCAAGAACACCAGUGGCGAAGGCGGCUUACUGGUCCGGUACUGACGCUGAGGUGCGAAAGCGUGGGGAGCAAACAGG